CUUGAAACCUAUAAGAGGUCCAGCCUGCCCAGUGACUUUGUUCAACGGCCGCGGUAUCCUAACCGUGCGAAGGUAGCGUAAUCACUUGUUCUUUAAAUGAGGACUAGUAUGAAUGGCACCACGAAGGUUAUACUGUCUCCUUUUUCUAAUCAGUGAAACUAAUCUUCCCGUGAAGAAGCGGGAAUAAAAAUAUAAGACGAGAAGACCCUAUGGAGCUUUAAACAAAUAUACAAUUGCCUCCUCUAAUAAAAAUUCCAGAAAAGACACUUCUAUUUGGGCACUUUGAUAUAAAGUUUUAGGUUGGGGUGACCACGGAGUAAAAAACAACCUCCGCAGUGAAAGGGGCUUUCCCCCUAAACCGAGGGCUACAACCCUAAGAAUCAAUAAAUUGACACUAAUUGACCCAAUUAAUUGAUCAAUGAAC
rnacentral:rRNA from 1 species